CCGCGGCCAGUUACCUGUGUCUGGCCGGACAAUGCUUUCGGGGAGGAAGGCGGGGAUGACGUCAAGUCCGCAUGGCUCUUACAUCUGGGGCGACACACACGCUACAAUGACGCCGACAGUGCGCAGCGACCCGGCAACGGGGAGCGAAUCGCCAAACGGCGUCUCAGUUCAGAUCGGGGGCUGCAACUCGCCCCCGUGAAGGCGGAGUUGCUAGUAACCGCGUAUCAGCCACGGCGCGGUGAAUACGUACCCGGGCCUU
rnacentral:rRNA from 1 species